rnacentral:rRNA from 1 species
CCUACGGGGAGGCAGCAGUGAGGAUUAUUGGUCAAUGGUCGGGAGACUGAACCAGCCAAGCCGCGUGAGGGAGGAAGGUACAGAGUAUCGUAAACCUCUUUUGUCAGGGAACAAAGGCGGGGACGCGUCCCCGGAUGAGUGUACCUGAAGAAAAAGCAUCGGCUAACUCCGUGCCAGCAGCCGCGGUAAUACGGAGGAUGCGAGCGUUAUCCGGAUUUAUUGGGUUUAAAGGGUGCGCAGGCGGUCUGUUAAGUCAGCGGGCAAAACCCGGGGCUCAACCCCGGGCCGGCGGUUGAAACGGGCAGUCUCGAGUUGGAGAGAGGUAUGCGGAAUGCGCGGUGUAGCGGUGAAAUGCAUAGAUAUCGCGCAGAACUCCGAUUGCGAAGGCAGCAUGCCGGCUCCACACUGACGCUGAGGCACGAAAGCGUGGGUAUCGAACAGGAGUAGAUACCCCUGUAGUC